UGAACUUGAAUUGUUCUCUGAGGCCUCUCC
rnacentral:piRNA from 1 species